rnacentral:RNase_P_RNA from 2 species
UGAGAUGGUCGGGUGAUCGCCUAACCAAUAGGGUUAGGAGGAAAGUCCGGACACCACAGGGCAGGGUAGUCGGUAACACCGACCUGCCGUGAGGCAGGGAAAGUGCCACAGAAAACAGACCGCCGAGCACCUCAUUGUAAGUAUUUUAAUAGUAACAAUAAAACACCUAAAAUGAGGUGCUCGGUAAGGGUGAAAAGGUGGGGUAAGAGCCCACCGCUUCAUCUGGUGACAGAUGAAGGCAUGGCAAACCCUACCCGGUGCAAGGCUAAAUAGGUGAGCGCUUGAGGGUGGCCCGCCCGAUGCUCACGGGUAAGCCGCUUGAGCUUGCUGGUAACAGCAAGUCUAGAGAAAUGAUCACCGCCCAUUUAUGGGUACAGAAUCCGGCUUAUAGACCAUCUCACCCU